GUGCGUCCUGGCCGUUUGAGGCUCUGGCCGAUUUUUUUUCCCAAGUCCCCAUGGAGAGUCAGGGACCGUCCUGUGCCAUCUUCCGAGAGCCUGGAAGGGUCCGCCCGUGGGCUUUCCGAGCGCCGAAGGGGCCACAUGCUGCUCUGAGGGUGCCGCAGAGAUGCUGUCUCACCAUGUUGGCCCCGGAUAGUCUUGGACUCCUGGGUUCCAGGUAUCCUCCGUGGCCUCCAAAAGUGCUGGGAUUACAGGUCCUGCCUACAGAAGAUCUUGUGACAUAUCCCUGCACCCAUCACACAGGAUAUUGUGACAUUGCUGAGCCCAGCAUCUAGGUGAUGUGACUCUUCUCUACUGUUUGGUCUCUACCCAAAAAGGGAUUGUGACAUAUCACUCUGUCAAGAACCUAGAUGAGGUGACUCCUCUCCAGCCUGGGACCUCCAUACAGAGGGGAUUGUAGCAUAUUCCUAAUGGAGCACCAAGGUGAUGUGACACUGCUGCCUGGUCCCUGCCCUCAGAGAAGAUUGUGACAUAUCACUGCCCCGAAACCCAGGUGUGAUUGUUACAUACACCUCUGCCCAGCACCUGAGUGAUUUGACUCUUCUGCUUGGGCCCAGCGUACAGAUGGGAUUGUGCCGCAUUGCUGGACCCAGCACUUAGGUGAUGUGAUAUAAUUCUCCUCUUAUGCCUGGCCCUGCCAAAAAGUGGGAGAUUAUGGCAAAUCACUGAACCCAGCACCUAGGGACCUUGUGACAUAUAUCUGCACCCAUGAUCUAGAAGAUGUGACAUUUAUUUUUUGCCUGCACCCUGCCCUGCACAGGAAUGAUUGUGACAUAUCCUUGGAACCAGACACCAGAAUUGUAACAUAUCCCUGGCUGAGCACUCAGGUGAUGUGACACUCCUGCUUGGCUUCUUCCCUCAGAGAAGAUUAUGAGAUAUCCAUGGCUGAAAUCCAGGGGGAAUUGUGACAUAUCACUUGGCCCAGUACCAAGCAGGUGUGACUCUUCUAUUCAUCAUAAGUCCUGCUUUCAAGGGAGAUUGGGACAUAUUGUGGGGCUCAACACCAAUGUGACAUUACUGUUUUGCCUUGGCCCAGACCUUAAAGGCACUGUGACGUAUUGCUCGGCUCAGCAACAAGGUGACGAGAGAUCCUGUGUGGACAUUGACAACAGAGAGCAUUGUGACAUAUCUUUGGGAGCAUCAGCUAUUUGAUGUGACUCUCCUUUUAUACCAAGGCUUUGCUCAUAGGGGAGAUCGUGAUGUAUCUUCUGGCCCAGAAAUCAGGCAAUGUGUUUCUCCUGCCUGAGCUUUGCUCACAGGGAGCAUUGUGACGUAUCACUGAGCCCAGCACCCAGGUGAUGGGACUCUACUGCCUGUCCCCUGCUUUCAGGAGGAAAUUGUAACAUAUCUCUGACCAAGCACCCAGGUGAUAAGUCUUCUGCCUGGUGCCUGUUCUCAGGGAAGAUUGUGACAUAUCCCUGGCCCAGCACCCAGAUGAUGCAGAUGACGUAUCUCUCCUGCUCACUCUCUAUCCACAGGUUCUGCCCACAAAGGAGAUUGUGGCAUACUGCUGGGCCUAACACUAAGGUGAUGUUACUUCUCUGCUUUGGCUAUGUCCUUAGAAGGCAUUGAGACACACUGCUGGGCCCAGGACCAAGAUGAUGUGAGUCCUCUGCCUGAACCCUGAUCACAGGGAGCAUUGUGACAUAUUUCUUGACCCACUGCAAUCUCUCCUAUGGACAAAGCCCAGGUUGGAUUGUGACAUAUACUUUAGCCCAGCUCACAGUUGUGAUAAUGACACUCAUACCACAAAUCAGUCAGUAGGAGAGAUACUGGCACUUGUAGCUAAACUUAGAGAAACAGGUUAUGUAACUCUCCUUGCUGGGUCCUGCCUACAGGAAGCUUUAUGAUCUAUCUGUGUAUUCAUCAUCCAGGUGUUAUGACUCUCGUCUUUUCACUGGAACCUGCCAAGAAGGGUGAUUGUGACAUAUCACUGGACCCAGCACCUUGGUGAUGUGACUCUCCUCUCCUCCUUGGGCCCUGCUUACAUUGUGUCUGUUGAAAUACGGCUGGUCCAACACCUAGGUAAUGUGACUCUCCUGCAUAGGCCUUGCUAAUAGGGGAUGUAUGACAUAUGUUUUGUUUAUCACUUAAGUGAUGUUACUCUCCUUUUCUUCCUGAAUCCUGUAAAAGGUGGGGGAUUGUGACCCUAUCACUGGACCCAGCACAUAAGUAAUAUGAGUUUCCUGCAUAGGCUCUGUUCAGAAGGGUAUUAUGACAUAUCUUUUUGUUCAUCACUUUGUGACUUGUCUUUUGACUGGAACCUGCCAAAAAGGGUGAUUGUGACAUAUUACUGGACCCAGCACCUAGGUGAUGUGGCUCUCCUUUUUUUCUGGGCCUCACAUAUUUUGGGUAUUGUGAUGUAUAGCUGGGCUCAACACCUAGCAGUUGGGGAGCUCCUUUCUUGACCAUUCCCACAAAUGACAUAUCUCUGCUAUGACCGCCUAUGACACAUGGCCUAAAUAUGUGACCCUUCUUUUCUGCCUGUACCCUGCUAACAGAGAAGAUUGUGACAAAUUGCUAAGUGCAUUGUAUCUUGUGCUGACCUUCUAUCUCAGCCUGUGACCAAGAAUGCCUAACUGCCGGGGAAUGCAGCCCUGUAGGUCUCAACCUCAAUUUACCCAGCCACUAUUCAAAAUAGAGUCACUCUGGUUUAAAUGCCUCUGACAUUAAGAUACACUGUAAAAUUAUGAAAAAAGUUUAUUUGAAUUUUAGCAAAUGAGAAAUGAAAUAAUUAGAAUGGGCUAUUCUGAAAGAUAUAGCAUUAGUUAUAUUUGUGUUUGAGUUUUCUAUUAACCUAUAUUUGUUACUUAUGAACAGAUACCUUGUUUUAUUCUGUCUAAACAGAUACACUAGGUGGGGUGUGGCGGCCAUGCCUGUAAUCCCAGCACUUUGGGAGGCCGAGGGGAGUGGAUCACCUGAGGUCAGGAAUUUGAGACAAGCCUGACCAACAUGGCAAAACCCUGUCUCUACU
rnacentral:lncRNA from 1 species